rnacentral:misc_RNA from 1 species
UGUCUAAUGAAUAUUAAUUACUUGGGGUAUAUUAAAGCUAGAGCCGGAUUGAGAUCUGCAGUAAUCGAUUGACCACUUCAUUAAGGUUUUGAGAUUGGAAAAAAGUCUUAUUUGCUCCUUCAGCGACGAUCAGUGUAUUAACCGGACUACUUUUCAGGUAUAAUCUCGGCCAUUUGCUGAUAGAUUUAGCAUACCCCUAAUAAUCUGUUCUAAAACGAAUAGAAUCUGCCUUAAAGUAGUCGUAAGAACCUUUUGUUAACGAAUAUUUUCAGAUUAGAUCAUAAACUUUAUAACAUAAUUAAGAAAGUUAUUGAUUUUACAGAAUAUUCUUGAGUUAACGUAAAAAAAAACUUUUUUUUUUUAUUUCAUACGGAUUGGGUGCAAAGAGCCCAAAAGAAUUUUUUAGCACUUUUCUCUUGUUUCAGUCAUUACGUUUAGAUUUAUAUUUGCGAAAAUGAAAGAAACAAAUCACUUGGCAUCUCAAGUUCUUAAAGAUUUAGGAUCGGACACGGAAAGAUUGGAAACGUUAAGUUCUAUAGCGGUUGGCAAUGAAACACAGCAAGGCGUCGAAGCUGCUUCUACAGCCAUAAUUACUCCAGACAAUGCAGAUUCUACGUCAAAGCAGAAGGAAAGUGGUAUGUUGGUGAGAUUAUUUAACGAAAUAAACAGUUUGACAGAAAAUUCAGAAAAAGAAAAUGGCGAAUCUGUCGAUGAGAACGGUAAUGUUCAAAAAUUAACCGAUGAAGCAGGUAAGGAGGAAAGCGCUUCGGAACUGCCGGAAGAAUCAUCUAGUACUACCAGUAAUACUACUACUACUACUAAUACUAAUACUACGAAUACUACUCGUGUACGACGACGAAAGCAAGAGCACCCGUUUAAGAGUCCAGAGAAAAAUGAUCCAAAUUUUCGAGGUGUUCAUUUCUACAUGCAGAACCAUCUAACAAAGGACAGAACUGGAAUUGAAUUUUGCAUAGGGGGACGAUUCGAUUGCAGGCGACCUGGAAAAAGACGUCAAAGUGAGGUUAUAGGGGCGAAGUGUUUAAUAGUAGGAUCGUACGAGUAUCUAGAGAGAAAGCGGAAAUCAAGGCGUUUGAAUCGAAAAUCAUUUGUGAAGGAAUGCGCAUCUUGUCGGUCGAGGAAAACGCCUUUAUGGAGAGAUGUCGAGUCGGUACCAUUAUGCAACGCUUGCGGUAUUAGAUUCAAGAAAUACAAGUUACGAUGCGAAAACUGCUGGUCCGUUCCACGCAAGGAGAAAUCUAGAUUUCCGUGCGAGCAAUGUGGCGGAUCUAUUCAAGAUUACAACUAAAUAUCUAUGCAUUUUUGUCAAGGGAAUCGAAAUUGUGCCAUCCUCCUGGUGCCGGCUUCGAC